rnacentral:siRNA from 1 species
AACGGAAUUAGAUGGUAAGACGG